rnacentral:misc_RNA from 1 species
GAUGAAGAACGUAGCGAAAUGCGAUAAGUAAUGUGAAUUGCAGAAUUCAGUGAAUCAUCGAAUCUUUGAACGCAUCUUGCGCUCCUUGGUAUUCCUUGGAGCAUGCCUGUUUGAGUAUCAUGAGCAAAUCUCAAAGUCAAUUCCUUUUGUUAAUUCAAUUGGUUUUGCUUUGGACUUGGAGGUCUUGCAGAUUUCACAGUCUGCUCCUCUUAAAUGCAUUAGCUGGAUCUCAGUAAUUAUGCUUGGUUCCACUCGGCGUGAUAAGUAUCACUCGCUGAGGACACUGUUAAAAAGGUGGCCAGGAAAGUACUGAUUGAACCGCUUCUAACGGUCUAUUAAGUUAGACAAUUACCCUUAAGUUUGAUCUCAAAUCAGGUAGGACUACCCGCUGAACUUAAGCAUAUCAAUAAGCGGAGGA